UCAGGGUAUCACCAGUGUCUCAGUUGACUUCCUGUUGCCUGUAAGAUGUAGGACUCAACAGCUACUUCUCCAGCACCAUGUCUGCCUGCACACAACCAUGUUCCCCAACAUGAUGAUAAUGGACUGAAACUCUGAACUGUCCUUUGUGUAUUAUGGCUUCCAGAUUACUGUUUUUAUGAGAUUCCUGAGUGUGCGAAUGAGAGCAGAGUUGCUUAGGUAUCAGGUGGUGGGCAGCGUAAGAGAAAGGCCUGACCUUUGGUCAUGGUCGAGACAGAGCUGAAAUAGAGGAUCUCACUGUGGCCUGGCCCUCGCUCACUUUGUUGACCAAGCUGACCUUGAAUUUACAGCAAUUCCCUUGCUUCUGGGAUUAGCAGUGCGGGGAUUGGCAGACAUGUAGCAUCACGCCUGUCUGACUGAUCUUGACAAACAUCAAUCCAUGAGAGGUCCGAGUCAGCAAGAGAAAGCUUAAAUACCUGCAGUUCAGGCUGGGGACUCUAUGUGAAUGUAGCAGGUUAACAUAGCUAAGUGAAGACUGCAUAUUUUUGUUUGGUUGUUUUGUUUUGAUACAAGUCUUGGUUAGCCCAGGCAAAUCUGGAAUCUCAGCAUAGUUGAAGAUAACCUUGAACACUGGACUUCCUACCUCCACCUUCAAAG